UGGACCCUACCAAAUUGUAAUUCUUGGUCAUAUAGGGUGUGAAUACCGAGCCACACACUUAGAAACCCAUAUCCUACGUUUUUGGUUUCAUUCUCCUAGGGUUUCUCUUGUUUGAACAUGCUUUCAUGGGUGCUUGCUUGGUGCCACGGUUUUGGACCAUUUUUAAUGAAGAUGAUGCAGAUUUUCUUAUUCCCUUGACUUACUCUUAGUUGUCUUAACUCAUUUGUGGUGAAAAUCCUUUCAUUCCUUCUUCCAUGUGCUUGUUCUUUGGAGUUGGAAGCUUGAGCUUUUAAGCUUUUCUUUGCAUUUUCAUGGUGUUUCUUGGGUUUGAAUGAAGUUAUAUUUUCUUUUUCCUCUCCAUUUACUUCAGUACUCACGGUUUUCCUUUUCAUUUUGGUUGGUUGGUUGAUGAAAAUGGGGUUCUAUGUGAGUUUUGGGUUGAAGAGAGCUUAAGGUGUUGUGUGGGUGUUGUGGUUUUGGCUCUUUUCUUCCACAUUUCGGUUUUGAUGUUUGAAAAUAGUUUGGAACAAGAGCUUGAAGAAAUGGAAGAUUGGGUUGAGUUGAAGUAGUAGUAGUAGUGUGGGUUUAUUGUCUUGAAUGGUGUUGCAACUUGAAAUGGGGUUUCUUAGGUGUGUGUUCUCGGUUUUGGAAGAUGGAGAAGCUUUGGAUGUUUGCUUUGGUAGAGGAAAAUCGAAAAUGGGUUGAAAGGGAGAAAGAAAAUGGUGCAUUUAAGUUUUUACCCGAUUUGGACAAACAAAUGUUAAGACCCAAUUUCCAUAGAAGGAAUUUUGCCAUUUUGGUUUUGGACUUUGUUAGCAAUUGCCG
rnacentral:lncRNA from 1 species